rnacentral:rRNA from 1 species
GACGAACGCUGGCGGCGUGCUUAACACAUGCAAGUCGAACGGAGCGAUUCACUUUAAUACUUCGGUAAGCGAGUGAUGAACUUAGUGGCGAACGGGUGAGUAACACGUGAGGAACCUGCCUCUAAGAGGGGGAUAACACUUAGAAAUAGGUGCUAAUACCGCAUAUGAUCUUCGGAUUAAAGGAUUUAUCCGGUUUGGGACUGGCCUGCGUACGAUUAGAUAGUUGGUAGGGUAAUGGCCUACCAAGUCGACGAUCGUUAGAUGGUUUGAGAGGUUGAACGGCCACAUUGGGACUGAGAUACGGCCCAG